rnacentral:rRNA from 1 species
UUUAUGGAGAGUUUGAUCCUGGCUCAGGAUGAACGCUGGCGGCGUGCCUAAUACAUGCAAGUCGAGCGAACGGACGAGAAGCUUGCUUCUCUGAUGUUAGCGGCGGACGGGUGAGUAACACGUGGAUAACCUACCUAUAAGACUGGGAUAACUUCGGGAAACCGGAGCUAAUACCGGAUAAUAUUUUGAACCGCAUGGUUCAAAAGUAAAAGACGGUCUUGCUGUCACUUAUAGAUGGAUCCGCGCUGCAUUAGCUAGUUGGUAAGGUAACGGCUUACCAAGGCAACGAUGCAUAGCCGACCUGAGAGGGUGAUCGGCCACACUGGAACUGAGACACGGUCCAGACUCCUACGGGAGGCAGCAGUAGGGAAUCUUCCGCAAUGGGCGAAAGCCUGACGGAGCAACGCCGCGUGAGUGAUGAAGGUCUUCGGAUCGUAAAACUCUGUUAUUAGGGAAGAACAUAUGUGUAAGUAACUGUGCACAUCUUGACGGUACCUAAUCAGAAAGCCACGGCUAACUACGUGCCAGCAGCCGCGGUAAUACGUAGGUGGCAAGCGUUAUCCGGAAUUAUUGGGCGUAAAGCGCGCGUAGGCGGUUUUUUAAGUCUGAUGUGAAAGCCCACGGCUCAACCGUGGAGGGUCAUUGGAAACUGGAAAACUUGAGUGCAGAAGAGGAAAGUGGAAUUCCAUGUGUAGCGGUGAAAUGCGCAGAGAUAUGGAGGAACACCAGUGGCGAAGGCGACUUUCUGGUCUGUAACUGACGCUGAUGUGCGAAAGCGUGGGGAUCAAACAGGAUUAGAUACCCUGGUAGUCCACGCCGUAAACGAUGAGUGCUAAGUGUUAGGGGGUUUCCGCCCCUUAGUGCUGCAGCUAACGCAUUAAGCACUCCGCCUGGGGAGUACGACCGCAAGGUUGAAACUCAAAGGAAUUGACGGGGACCCGCACAAGCGGUGGAGCAUGUGGUUUAAUUCGAAGCAACGCGAAGAACCUUACCAAAUCUUGACAUCCUUUGACAACUCUAGAGAUAGAGCCUUCCCCUUCGGGGGACAAAGUGACAGGUGGUGCAUGGUUGUCGUCAGCUCGUGUCGUGAGAUGUUGGGUUAAGUCCCGCAACGAGCGC